GAUGAACGCUGGCGGCGUGCCUAAUACAUGCAAGUCGAGCGAACAGACGAGGAGCUUGCUCCUUCGACGUUAGCGGCGGACGGGUGAGUAACACGUAGGUAACCUACCUAUAAGACUGGGAUAACUUCGGGAAACCGGAGCUAAUACCGGAUAAUAUUUCGAACCGCAUGGUUCGAUAGUGAAAGACGGCUUUGCUAUCACUUAUAGAUGGACCUGCGCCGUAUUAGCUAGUUGGUAAGGUAACGGCUUACCAAGGCAACGAUGCGUAGCCGACCUGAGAGGGUGAUCGGCCACACUGGAACUGAGACACGGUCCAGACUCCUACGGGAGGCAGCAGUAGGGAAUCUUCCGCAAUGGGCGAAAGCCUGACGGAGCAACGCCGCGUGAGUGAUGAAGGUCUUCGGAUCGUAAAACUCUGUUAUUAGGGAAGAACAAACGUGUAAGUAACUGUGCACGUCUUGACGGUACCUAAUCAGAAAGCCACGGCUAACUACGUG
rnacentral:rRNA from 1 species